rnacentral:rRNA from 1 species
GACGAACGCUGGCGGCGUGCUUAACACAUGCAAGUCGAACGGAAAGGCCUCUUUCGGGGGGUACUCGAGUGGCGAACGGGUGAGUAACACGUGAGUAACCUGCCCUUGACUUUGGGAUAACUUCAGGAAACUGGGGCUAAUACCGGAUAGGAGCUCCUGCUGCAUGGUGGGGGUUGGAAAGUUUCGGCGGUUGGGGGUGGACUGGCGGCUUAUCAGCUUGUUGGUGGGGUGGUGGCUUACCAAGGCUUUGACGGGUAGCCGGCCAGUGAGGGUGAGCGGCGAUAUUGAGUCUGAGGGAAGGCAGAGGCACCGACGGGUGGGAAAAGGGGGGAAGAUUGAAGGAGGGAUGGAGGGUGAGUGCUGCAGGGCCGCGGGCGGUAAGACGGUCUUAGGGUGGAAGAACAUAUUCGCACGUAACGGAGCUUAGUGUGACGGUAGUGAAUAAGAAAGCACCGGCUAACUACGUG